rnacentral:rRNA from 1 species
UAAGCGGAGGAAAAGAAACUAACCAGGAUUCCCCUAGUAACGGCGAGUGAAGCGGGAAUAGCUCAAAUUUUAAAUCUGGCCGGCGUGGUCGGUCCGAGUUGUAAUUUGAAGAGUGGUUUUCACGUUUUCGUUCGGGUCUAAGUUCCUUGGAAUGGGACAUCAGAGAGGGUGAGAAUCCCGUCUUUGAUCCGAUCGGUAACGGUACGAUACCGCUUCUAAGAGUCGAGUUGUUUGGGAUUGCAGCUCAAAAUGGGUGGUAAAUUCCAUCUAAGGCUAAAUAUAGGCGAGAGACCGAUAGCGAACAAGUACCGUGAGGGAAAGAUGAAAAGAACUUUGAAAAGAGAGUUAAAUAGUACGUGAAAUUGUUGAUAGGGAAACGAUUGAAGUCAGUCAUGCCGGUGGAAAAUCAACUUAUGGACUACUAUGAGUGCACUUUUCGCAUGGCAGGUCAAUAUUAGUUUUGUUGGGUCAUAAUUAUUGUAGAAAGGUGACUCCUUCGGGAGUGUUAUAGACUACUUUAGAUGGCCUGACAUAGACUAAGGAUUGCAGCGAAUGCCUUUAGGCUACAGUUCUUUCUCUGUAAGUCGUUGAUUGGUUGUCAGCUUGCUGACUUCUAGUUAAUUGGCUGACAGUAAGGGAGAAACUGUUAAAUUCGCUAAGGAUGUUGACGUAAUGGCUUUAAACGACCCGUCUUGAAACACGGACCAAGGAGUCUAACAUAUAUGCGAGUGUU